rnacentral:rRNA from 1 species
AUUGAACGCUGGCGGCAGGCCUAACACAUGCAAGUCGAGCGGAUGAAGGGAGCUUGCUCCUGGAUUCAGCGGCGGACGGGUGAGUAAUGCCUAGGAAUCUGCCUGGGAGUGGGGGAUAACGUCCGGAAACGGGCGCUAAUACCGCAUACGUCCUGAGGGAGAAAGUGGGGGAUCUUCGGACCUCACGCUAUCAGAUGAGCCUAGGUCGGAUUAGCUAGUUGGUGGGGUAAAGGCCUACCAAGGCGACGAUCCGUAACUGGUCUGAGAGGAUGAUCAGUCACACUGGAACUGAGACACGGUCCAGACUCCUACGGGAGGCAGCAGUGGGGAAUAUUGGACCAUGGGCGAAAGCCUGAUCCAGCCAUGCCGCGUGUGUGAAGAAGGUCUUCGGAUUGUAAAGCACUUUAAGUUGGGAGGAAGGGCAGUAAGUUAAUACCUUGCUGUUUUGACGUUACCAACAGAAUAAGCACCGGCUAACUUCGUG